UACGUAGGGGGCAAGCGUUGCUCGGAAUUACUGGGCGUAAAGGGUCCGUAGGCGGUGCGGUAAGUCGACGGUGAAAUCUCCCGGCUCAACUGGGAGGGGCCCGCCGAAACUGCCGUGCUGGAGGGCCGGAGGGGCGAGUGGAAUUACCGGUGUAGCGGUGAAAUGCGUAGAUAUCGGUAGGAACACCGGAGGCGAAGGCGGCUCGCUGGACGGCACCUGACGCUGAGGGACGAAAGCUGGGGGAG
rnacentral:rRNA from 1 species